rnacentral:rRNA from 1 species
GCUGAAACCCGCCUCCAUGAAGUUGGAUUCGCUAGUAAUCGCGCAUCAGCCAUGGCGCGGUGAAUACGUUCCCGGGCCUUGUACACACCGCCCGUCAAGCCAUGGGAGCCGGGGGUGCCUGAAGUUCGUUACCGUAAGGAUCGACCUAGGGCAAAACUGGUGACUGGGGCUAAGUCGUAACAAGGUACC